rnacentral:rRNA from 1 species
GAGCCGUAGCGAAAGCGAGUCUGAAUAGGGCGCAUAAGUAACAGGUCGUAGACCCGAAACCAGGUGAUCUACCCAUGUCCAGGAUGAAGGUAAGGUAAUACUUACUGGAGGUCCGAACCCACGCACGUUGAAAAGUGCGGGGAUGAGGUGUGGGUAGCGGAGAAAUUCCAAUCGAACUUGGAGAUAGCUGGUUCUCUCCGAAAUAGCUUUAGGGCUAGCCUCGAGGUAAAGAGUCAUGGAGG